rnacentral:rRNA from 1 species
GAUGAACGCUGGCGGCGUGCCUAAUACAUGCAAGUCGAACGAACAGAUGAUGAGCUUGCUCCUCUGACGUUAGCGGCGGACGGGUGAGUAACACGUGGAUAACCUACCUAUAUGACUGGGAUAACUUCGGGAAACCGGAUCUAAUACCGGAUAAUAUAUUGAACCGCAUGGUUCAAUAGUGAAAGACGGCUUUUCUGGCAGUUAUAGAUGGAUCCGCGCCGCAUUAGCUAGUUGGUAAGGUAACGGCUUACCAAGGCAACGAUGCGUAGGCGAACUGAGGGGGUGAUAGGCCACACUGGAACUGCGACACGCUCCAGACGCCUACGGGACGCAGCAGUAGGGAAUCUUCCGCAAAGGGCGAAAGCUUGACGGAGCAACGCCGCGUGAGUGAUGAAGAUCUUCGGAUCGUAAAAAUCUGUUAUUAGGGAAGAACAAAUGUGUAAGUAAAUAUGCACGUAUUGACGGUACCUAAUCAGAAAGCCACGGCUAACUACGUG